rnacentral:ribozyme from 12 species
AAAAAAAAAAAAAAAAAAAAAACAAGAAACGAAAAAAGGGAACA